rnacentral:piRNA from 1 species
UAUACCAGGAACCACAACUCCUCUGUGCUA